AAUAAAUGUAGUUUUGUAUUCUUCAUGUUAAACGUUUGACUGUUCAUUUUAUUUGAAUUUUUUUUAUGAUUAGUAUUUUUAUAGUUAUUAGAUGAUAAAAUAUGAAUAGUACAUUGGACACGGAUAUCCACGGCUGCACUUAUU
rfam:Oryza rufipogon genomic scaffold, chr11